GACCCUAUAGUGUAAUAGUAGCACGGUUUCGCCGGUGUCCACCGGUCGAAGAACGUAGAGGUUCGAUUCCUCUUGGGGUCA